rnacentral:piRNA from 1 species
CUGUGAAUUUGCUGUCAAAAGC